UCCCUGAUAGCUCAGUUGGUAAAGUAUUUGCCUGCAAUGCAGGAGACCCUGGUUCAAUUCCUGGGUUGGAAG
rnacentral:tRNA from 1 species